rnacentral:rRNA from 1 species
AACGUAGGUCACGAGCGUUGUCCGGAAUUACUGGGUGUAAAGGGAGCGCAGGCGGGUAGACAAGUUGGAAGUGAAAGCCACGGGCUCAACCCGUGAACUGCUUUCAAAACUGUAUAUCUUGAGUAGUGCAGAGGUAGGCGGAAUUCCCGGUGUAGCGGUGGAAUGCGUAGAUAUCGGGAGGAACACCAGUGGCGAAGGCGGCCUACUGGGCACCAACUGACGCUGAGGCUCGAAGGUGUGGGUAGCAAACAGG